CCUAAAAUCGACAAUAUACGCAGAUUUUACGGUCAUUUGAGAAUAAUUUGAUCUUUUCUAAGCUUAAAACAAUGUUUAGGUAAUAAGUAUUUGCUCGGAUAAUAAUGUUAAAUUGAUUUUCAAUCCGGUAGGGUCAAACGAACAAGAACGAUAACUCUAAUGUUUUGAUUUGUGUGUACUUUAGAACAAUGCAUUAAAUCGCCGAUUUUUCCGGUUCAGUAAGUUUUCCUGUUGUUAUGUUCUUAAAAAAAAUCAAAAAUAUAUUAUAUUUGAUUUAUAAACAUAUGGAAACAUUUCAUUCUGUCGUUAGAUGGCAUUAUCUUGCAAGUUUUAAUCGAAGACCGCCACCAAAACUCUUGCACUUGCAGAACGAUAUGACAGUCACAUUGUCGAAUUAUUAGUGAAAGUUGAUUAUGUCAAAGCCACAUGAAGAACUUCUACUUCUAGAAGACCCUGAAGAGACCCAGGAAUUUUUUAAGAAUCAGCUAACAGUAACACCUGAAAGUCCUUUACUCUUCUUGGAGUCGGAUGCUUCCAGUGAUUCAGAGGUUUCAAUUGUUUUGUGAAGAGGGGAUAGAGGAGAGGUAUAUAUAAAAAGAGGACAGUGAUUCUAAAGGAAGAAUGAUCAAUGUAGAUUUUAUAUAGUAUUAAAUUUGAUAAUUACACAA